rnacentral:lncRNA from 1 species
ACUUAGAAAUCCUCAAGCCACUCACGCGAACUGGGUCCAGUCCGCUCAGCCUCACAACCGGGCUUCAUCUGGCUUUCUCCACCAGGCCGGCCUCGUCUUCACUGCACCUCGGGCCGAUCCCAUUUGGGCCCAGCUUUGUUCCUAUCCUCCGGCCCAGCCCGGAACCCGAAGAAGGAUUCAUCCAUCCGCCUCGUAGACCCGCCUACACGCGCACAGAGAGAAUCAGAGGCCGUUAUGCAUGGGGCAGAGAUCUGAUUCCCUCGUACGUCCGUAUCAGCGUAGCAGGGACAGGUGGUCUAAUGAUACUCGUUCUGUUGGCACGUCACUAGCAGACAAAAGGAAAC